UACUAGAACACACCCGCGAAAUCGCGGGCAUUCAGAACGUAGUUUAAAGUAUGUAAAGUGUUGUUGGAAGAAUUUUGUAAAAUAUUGAAUGACUGGAGAAUUUCAGCAAAUGUAUCAUAAGUCAUAGGUUAUUGGGGACAGUAAAAUGUGUUUUUUUUUAACCCCUCCUUCAUUUCCAAAAUUCCCAAUUUUUGGUUUUCUAUCAAUUUCAAUAUGAACAUACAUUUAGUAUGUUAUGAACAUUUAAGUAAGGAACCUGUAAUUCAAUGGUUGUCGUUUGUUUAUGUGUUACAUAUUUGUUUUUCGUUCAUUUUUUGUACAUAAAUUAUGGCCGCUAGUUUUCUCGUUUGAAUUGUUUUAAAUCGUCAUUUCGGGGCCUUUUAAAGCUAAGUAUGCGGUAUGGGCUUUGCUCGUUGUUGAAGGCCGUACGGUGACCUAUAGUUGUUAAUUUCUGUGUCAUCUUGGUCUCUUGUGGGGAGUUGUCUCAACAUUGCAAUCAUACCACAUCUUUUUUGUUGUUGUUGUAAUAAAUGAAUUUUGUAAAAUAUUUAAUGACUGGAGAAUUUCAGAAAAGGUACCAAAAGUGUACAUGAAUAAUUUUAGCGCUUAUCUGUAUAUUAUGAACAUUCAUUACUAUAUAAAUAAAGUGUAUUUACUUUCAAUUCCAAGUUUACUAAUCGAUCCAUGGUGGUCAAUUGAUAUAGUAUACAGACCCUCUCCAUUUAAUAAACUCUGUGACCGCCGUGGAUAGUAAACUUGAAAAUGAUAGCAGAUAGAAUUAAAAUACACUUUAUUCGUAGUAUAUGUAUGUUAAAAAAGUAUACAGAAAAACGCAAACCGGAAGUCUAAUCUGACUUAAAAUUUCGUCCAAUGACGGGACAAUAUCCGGAUGCCUUUUUUCUCGUUUUUCUCC
rnacentral:lncRNA from 1 species